GGCGUUCCUCCGAGCAGGUCUAGGCCCCGGAGGACCGCGCCUCGGUGGCACCCCGCUAGCCUGGCUGCUGAGCUGCUCUCUGAGAAGACUAGGUCAACAGAUUAUGCGUUAAGGACCAAAAACACCACAUGAGCACUGCACGAGUGGUCGGAGAAAGGAGACUAUCCAUUUCCCAGCAGGGUUGCAGUUCAAAACCGUCAGAAUGACUACUGUACAGAAAUCACAGGCUGUAAUGGAUUGGCUAGAAGGUGGGGGUAUUGAAUCUUUAGGUACUGUAGAGGUAGCAGAAAUCCAAAAGUAGUACGUGCGCAGUGGCCGCUCUCAGAGUCACCUCGGCCAAGAUGAAGAAGCAGCCCAGUGCAUGCAGACAAGAUGGGCUUUAUCUACAAGGACCUGGUCUGGCAGGAAGAGGAGAAGGGGGAGACGGGAGAACAAAGCAGAGCCUUGUCCUUGUCUGGGACGUGAUGGGCAGAGAGACGGCUGGGUGAUGAUGUAUUCAGGGCUCAGGCAGCAUGCUGCUGAGGCGUCAAGGAACACAGCACCCAAGUCCUGGAGGACAGGCUGGGCCCCCUCUGUGGUAGUGGACUGAGUUGGGACUCCUGAGAGUGCUCAGAGUCUGAGCUCAAACUGAGGGUGGUGGGACUCUCAGAGCUCAUCUGUCUCCCUUCUGCAUGUUCUCACAUGGCAGAAGACAGACCUCACCCUGAUGGUGUCCCAGACCCUUCAGCAUGCACAGCUCCCUACUCGCAACAGGACCUGCAUUCAUACUUCCGGGAGAGCUAGGGCUCCGGCUGUCCUGUCUGCCAGGGUUGAGCAGCCUCUGCUCGCCCACCCACCAGCAUGCGCCAGCACCUUCUGCCAGUGAAAGGAAAGACAUGGAAAAGCGUACCUGCUUCCUCUGGCGUUGGCUUGGCUCCUGCAAAAGGAAAGGAGAAAGGUUUGCCCGUCAUCUAGGGCAAACCUCCACGAACCACUGCAGACCAGGACAAGGACCGUUUGAAGGAGAGGCGUGGGAAGGUAAGAGAAUCACGGCUAUGCUACGUCCAGUCCCAGAGCGGCCCCUCACCUGCAGGAAUCCCCAGCAGAAGGCCAAGAGCCAGCCACCACAGCACACAGGGCUGCAUCCUUACCAAGUGCAGACGGUAUACUCAGGACCACCUGCAGCAGGAGGAAGCCAAGGAUGAUAAUGCUGCCCACCAGGAUGAGCCCGUUCUGCCACCGCGAAGCGGACCACCCUCAGGAAUGCUCGAAUGUUCGUAAAUGCAUCUGUUUCUGCUUUUCUAAGCCACUAUUCUGAGGUAAAAGCUUAUUCGUUUUGACGGUUUAAGAAUGCCUUGCCCCCAUUCCCACCCCCAUCACAAACACCAGGUCCACCCUAUCUAUAGAGAGAACAAUCCAAACCCUCCCAGAGGGUACCUCGUUGCUGGUCUGCAGCCUUGUGGGGCCACUGCCAGCACUCAGGCUCCACUUUAUAGUAGGGCUGGGACAAGGAAGGAAGCGUCACCCUCCUGAGCCAUCAAACUGAAUAUUUCAUCCCCCAGCAGAGGACUGUAGGUCUCUGUUUCCCUGCUGGCAGGAGGGCCCGUGGGAGCAGCUGGGGGAAUCGCACCACAGAUCAGAUCUGCCAUCAACUUUCAAAGCUGAGUUCAGCAAGGGUGCAUCUAAUACACCUCCUUCUAAGUCUGUUACCGGGGGCAUCGGAGGGCUGCUGAAACCCCUCAGCUGUGCUACAGGACCCUGUGAUCCCAUGGCCUCCUCGGUAAGCCUGCAAACACUCCCUCACCCAGGACACCACACUAGUAGAGCAGCAUGGAGAGGAAGUGGGGACAAGAUGGACCCCUCCCCAGACCAGAGUUUUCUUCCAAGUCUCUAAUGGGCAAGGCCAGGGGAUAGAUACCUGUAGAUAUUAUCUCAGAGGCCCUUAAGUUCAGAUCACUGUGAUUAUCCCUUGAUAGAACCCUUGCCCAUCUAUCAGAGUAAGUGCAGCCUCGUGGACCCACCCCCGAGGUCUCAACACCCUGCUGGAUACAGUACUAUGUCCAGGAUAAUGGCCUCCAUUGUUUCUCAACACCCCAGGACUCUCAAAGAUUCUGGUACCCUGUUCUGGAGUUGUGUGGCCCAGGAGUCCCCUCAAGUCCCCAUCCUUCCCCAAGUGACAGCCUAAAUCUAAUCAGAGAUACAGAGAGGGGGUAUGAUCCAGUAGUAUUGGAGUGCAGCCAUGUAGCAGAGAGCCUCUGGCUUUCAUUUCCAGACCCCUGGCUCCUGAGCUAUAAGAAGUGUGGCUGCUUUUAGGGCAGCUGUGUCAGGGUCGCUGAACCAUCUGCAGGUAUAUGAUUCAUGAGGACAUUCAGCCCUGAUUUACAGCACAGCUGUACUCGCAGCCUUGAUUUACAACAGACACAGAGGACCUGGCAAAGAGAAAGGCUCUAGUCAGAACCCAAAGGAGCAGACACCCUGAGCCUCUGGUCAUCAGAGGGCCACCAGGAUCUAGCAGUCAACUGUCCACCCUGAUGAGCCCAUAUCUAAAGAAAACAUGCAAACUGGUUUGAAACCGGUUUCCUAAUGCAAGACUGAACUUUGGAAAGUCUAGAGCCAAUUAGCAGCUGUGAGUCCAGGAGAGGAAACUAUGGGUGUUCAUUGACUUUCUCCUCCCUUACUGGGUGUGUAUUUUUAUCUAUCUAUCUAUCUAUCUAUCUAUCUAUCUAUCUAUCUAUCUAUCUAUCUAUUGGUAAGAAAAUCUUAAAUAAAACAGCCCCGCCAUCAGCAACA